GACGAACGCUGGCGGCGUGCUUAACACAUGCAAGUCGAACGGAAAGGCCCUGCUUUUGUGGGGUGCUCGAGUGGCGAACGGGUGAGUAACACGUGAGUAACCUGCCCUUGACUUUGGGAUAACUUCAGGAAACUGGGGCUAAUACCGGCUAGGAGCUCCUGCUGCAUGGUGGGGGUUGGAAAGUUUCGGCGGUUGGGGAUGGACUCGCGGCUUAUCAGCUUGUUGGUGGGGUAGUGGCUUACCAAGGCUUUGACGGGUAGCCGGCCUGAGAGGGUGACCGGCCACAUUGGGUCUGAGAUACGGCCCAGACUCCUACGGGAGGGAGCAGUGGGGAAUAUUGCACAAUGGGCGGAAGCCUGCUGCAGCAACGCCGCGUGCGGGAUGACGGCCUUCGGGUUGUAAACCGCUUUCGCCUGUGACGAAGCGUGAGUGACGGUAAUGGGUAAAGAAGCACCGGCUAACUACGU
rnacentral:rRNA from 1 species